ensembl:snRNA U6 U6 spliceosomal RNA
UUGCUUUGGCAGCAAACGUACUAAAACGGGAACAAUACGGAUUCACAUGGCCCCUUUGCAAGGAUGACACGCAAAUUCGGAAAGUGUCCCAUAGUUUA